CCUACGGGAGGCAGCAGUGGGGAAUAUUGCACAAUGGGGGAAACCCUGAUGCAGCGACGCCGCGUGAGUGAAGAAGGAAUUCGUUAUGUAAAGCUCUAUCAGCAGGGAAGAAAAUGACGGUACCUGAGUAAGAAGCCCCGGCUAACUACGUGCCAGCAGCCGCGGUAAUACGGAGGGGGCAAGCGGUAUCCGGAUUUACUGGGGGUAAAGGGAGCGUAGACGGCAGUGCAAGUCUGGGGUGAAAGGCUGGGGCUCAACCCCAGGACUGCUCUGGAAACUGUAAGUCUGGAGUGGAGGAGAGGUAAGUGGAAUUCCUGGUGUAGCGGUGAAAUGCGUAGAUAUUAGGAGGAACACCAGUUGCGAAGGCGGCUUACUGGACUGUAACUGACGCUGAGGCUCGAAAGCGUGGGGAGCAAACAGGAUUAGAUACCCCUGUAGUC
rnacentral:rRNA from 1 species